UACGUAGGGUGCAAGCGUUAAUCGGAAUUACUGGGCGUAAAGCGUGCGCAGGCGGUGAUGUAAGACAGUUGUGAAAUCCCUCAGCUUAACUGGGGAACUGCGUCUGAGACUGGAUGGCUCGAGUGCAGGAGAGGAACGCGGAAUUCCAGGUGUAGCGGUGAAAUGCGCAGAUAUCAGGAGGAACACCGGUGGCGAAGGCGGGUCUCUGGGCAGUAACUGACGCUGAGGAGCGAAAGCGUGGGGAGCGAACAGG
rnacentral:rRNA from 1 species